UUGCGGCAUGCCUUACACAUGCAAGUCGAACGGUAACAGGUCUUCGGACGCUGACGAGUGGCGAACGGGUGAGUAAUACAUCGGAACGUGCCCAGUCGUGGGGGAUAACUACUCGAAAGAGUAGCUAAUACCGCAUACGAUCUGAGGAUGAAAGCGGGGGACCUUCGGGCCUCGCGCGAUUGGAGCGGCCGAUGGCAGAUUAGGUAGUUGGUGGGAUAAAAGCUUACCAAGCCGACGAUCUGUAGCUGGUCUGAGAGGACGACCAGCCACAACUGGGACUGAGACACGGCCCAGACUCCUAACGGGAGGCAGCAGUGGGGAAUUUUGGACAAUGGGCGAAAGCCUGAUCCAGCAAUGCCGCGUGCAGGAUGAAGGCCUUCGGGUUGUAAACUGCUUUUGUACGGAACGAGAAAGCUCCUUCUAAUACAGGGGGCCCAUGACGGUACCGUAAGAAUAAGCACCGGCUAACUACGUGCCAGCAGCCGCGGUAAUACGUAGGGUGCGAGCGUUAAUCGGAAUUACUGGGCGUAAAGCGUGCGCAGGCGGUUAUGUAAGACAGAUGU
rnacentral:rRNA from 1 species